GCACUGCUGAGGAGUCCCAUAAUAGGACGAAACAACCGUCCGGUGC
rfam:Schistosoma haematobium scaffold2584_6, whole genome shotgun sequence.